AAAACUUUUUUUUCAGCCAAUUCAGGCGUAAUUCCGUCAAUUUCGGUGUUUGGUACGCAAACACC
ensembl:ncRNA M01G5.10 ncRNA